UACAGAGGUCCCAAGCGUUGUUCGGAUUCACUGGGCGUAAAGGGUGCGUAGGCGGUCGGGUAAGUCUGAUGUGAAAUCUCACAGCUUAACUGUGAAACUGCAUUGGAUACUAUCCGGCUAGAGGAAUGGAGGGGAGACUGGAAUACUUGGUGUAGCAGUGAAAUGCGUAGAUAUCGAGAGGAACACCAGUGGCGAAGGCGAGUCCCUGGACAGGUCCUGACGCUGAGGCACGAAAGCGUGGGGAGCAAACAGG
rnacentral:rRNA from 1 species